AUGAUGGACUAUAGGACAGGACUGCUGCUUUUUACUGUCUGCUGGGCAGGUGUUGAUGGUCAGACUCUGACAGAAUCUGAAGCAGUGGUUAAAAGGCCUGGAGAAUCCCACAGACUGACCUGUUCAGCCUCUGGAUUCACAUUCAGCAGCUACUGGAUGGCUUGGGUCAGACAGGCUCCUGGAAAAGGACUGGAGUGGAUUGCUGAAAUUAGUAGCAGUGGUGGUAGCAGCCAAUACUACUCUAAUUCAGUCAAAAGCCGGUUCACCAUCUCCAGAGACAACAGCAGACAGCAGCUGUAUCUGCAGAUGAACAGUCUGCAGACUGCAGACACUGCAGUGUAUUACUGUGCC